AUGACCUUGGCUCCUGUCUCAGUGCUUAUGAUACUUUUUUCCCUGGGAGGAACCAGAGCCCAGUCGGUGACCCAGCCUGAUGCCCACGUCACUGUCUCUGAAGAAGCUGCUUUGGAGCUGAGGUGCAACUACUCAUCUGUUGUUCAACCGUAUCUCUACUGGUACGUGCAGUAUCCCAACCAAGGCCUCCAGCUUCUCCUCCAGUACUUUUCAGGGGACACUCUGGUUAAAGGCAUCAAAGGUUUCGAGGCUGAAUUUAGGAAGACUGAAACCUCCUUCCACCUGAGGAAACCCUCAGCCCGUGGGGGCGACGCGGCCAAGUACUUCUGUGCUGUGAGUGACACAGUGCCUGGGACUGCAGGGGGAGCUGAACACUAA